rnacentral:rRNA from 1 species
UACGUAGGACCCGAGCGUUAUCCGGAAUUACUGGGCGUAAAGAGUUGCGUAGGUGGUUUGUUAAGUGAAUAGUGAAAUCGUGCGGCUCAACCGUAUACACAUUAUUUAAACUGGCAGACUUGAGUAUGGUAGAGGUCACUGGAAUUACUAGUGUAGGAGUGAAAUCCGUAGAUAUUAGUAGGAACACCGAUGGCGUAGGCAGGUGACUGGACCAUAACUGACACUGAGGCACGAAAGCGUGGGGAGCAAACGGG